rnacentral:rRNA from 1 species
GACAGAGGGGGCAAGCGUUGCUCGGAAUCACUGGGCGUAAAGGGCGCGUAGGCGGGUCGGCAAGUCGGUCGUGAAAGCCCUCGGCUCAACCGAGGAGAGUCGGCCGAGACUGUCGUUCUUGAGGGAUGCAGAGGAGACUGGAAUUCCCGGUGUAGCGGUGAAAUGUGUAGAGAUCGGGAGGAACACCGGUGGCGAAGGCGGGUCUCUGGGCAUCUCCUGACGCUGAGGCGCGAAAGCUAGGGGAGCAAACGGG